GCAUUGCCGACCGUGACCGCGAAUGUCAAAUUCGAAAUUGCUCCAAUAUUUAUUUGUUUUUGUAUACAAAUAAUAUUUUCUUAUACAUUUUUAUUACAUAAAAGAUAUAGUUUUGGGGGCAAUUGUUUAUUUGUACAUAUUUAUCACUCAAUUUAUUGGUAUGCUGUAGGCGAUUUGUACAUUUGUAGUGGCAAACAUCGUUUAUUUGCGGUCUGUGUUGUUGAUUAUUCUCUGUUGCACUUGACGGAAGGAGAUCAUUACGGGAGACCAGCACAGAAAACCUCUUAAAAAAGCAUUGCAGUGAGAAUAACGUUUUGGGAUAAUAAAAUAGAAGUGAAAUAUCAAUAGAUCAAGGUUUUUGAUUUGAUUCCAAUCAUUGAAAUUGUUUAAAUCAACCUAAUUUGUUCCAGAUGAGAUUGGAUAGCCAAUGUUGGACUCUCCAUAUGGAACCGGUCUUGAAUAUACUUUUAUCUGGAAGAUCGAUAUUCCACCGACAACAAGCUGAAGUUGGGGUUAACUCUGUGUAAUUCCCUAGACAACGUUACUAUUUAGAAGUGCCCAGGAGCUUUUCGGCAAUCUAACCUUGUUCGGAUCGGUAAGACGGGUAGAGCACCUAGGCGUGUGGGUGCACAGCAAGGUUUCGGCACCUUCUUCGGUUCCAACAAAUGCACCAAAGUCUGGACAAUGGCAUGAUUGGUCGCGUUCAUAUGAGCAUUUAGAGGGAAAUUACAUUCACCGCUGCAGUAGAAGGCGCCAUAACCCUCUGGCGCAAUGAUCCAAUCCUUCCUUGAAAUCAAUGUAGAGCGUCUGUAUUUGACAACUGCGCAUAUUUUCCACGGUACCCUCAAGGAAUGGGUUGAUCAUUUCAGACUUCUUACGACGACGCACAUGUGGUGUGUUGCGCUUCUUGCGACUGUGACGAUUGGU